rnacentral:rRNA from 1 species
CCUUGUACACACCGCCCGUCACACCAUGGGAGUGGGUUGCUCCAGAAGUAGCUAGUCUAACCGCAAGGGGGACGGUUACCACGGAGUGAUUCAUGACUGGGGUGAAGUCGUAACAAGGUAGCCGUAGGGGAACCUGCGGCUGGAUCACCUCCUUAAGCUUGGAUCCCGGGA